UACGGGGGGGGUAAGCGUUGUUCGGAAUUACUGGGCGUAAAGGGCUCGUAGGCGGCCAACUAAGUCGGACGUGAAAUCCCUCAGCUUAACUGGGGAACUGCGUCUGAUACUGGAUGGCUUGGAUUUGGGAGAGGGAUGCGGAAUUCCAGGUGUAGCGGUGAAAUGCGUAGAUAUCUGGAGGAACACCGGUGGCGAAGGCGGCAUUCUGGACCAUAACUGACACUGAGAGACGAAAGCCAGGGGAGCAAACGGG
rnacentral:rRNA from 1 species